rnacentral:lncRNA from 1 species
AACAACCAAAAAUAAUUAACAUUUGCAAAAAUAUCAAUAUUUAGAAGUUAUAUUCUUAUAAAUUGGUACUUUUAAAUGAAAAUGUACAUUAAACAUCUGCAUUCCUGCAUCAAAUUUUGCUAACUUGAUGGAAAAUCUGGACCUUUGAUUCUCUGUUUUUUUACAAUCCAAGAUGGAGGAAGACACCCAUACCACCUUAAAGGGUUUU